UGCUGGGACUUCCCUUUUCCCCAGAAUGAUAUUCUGGUAUAAUUAAUGGGGCAUUUGGACUCUGAUAGGAUUUACUUCCAUCCAGCUUCUCACGAAAACCCUCCUGAUGCCUCUCAGAUUUUCAUGAAGAUUCAGGGCUGAGAUGGGAGAUGGAGAUGAUGGAGAUGAUGGAGCUGUAAAAGAAGGAGAUGGAGCCACCUCAUGCAAGAGCUGCAGAGGAACCCAGCCUUCCUGCAGGGAUGGUGGCGGCUGAAGCGGGGCAGGGAGGACGGCAGCAUGUGGGAAAUGCAGUGGCACAGACCCUGAUGAAUGUCAUGCCUGUGCAGAAUUCCUGGCAGGACUGGAGCUUCGUCCAGAUUGCAGAUGCCCAAAAUAUCUAUAUUCUGGGCUGA
rnacentral:lncRNA from 1 species